rnacentral:rRNA from 1 species
AUUGAACGCUGGCGGCAGGCCUAACACAUGCAAGUCGAGCGGGGGUAGCAAUACCCUAGCGGCGAACGGGUGAGGAAUGCUUGGGAAUCUGCCUGGUAGUGGGGGGAUAACGUUCCGAAAGGAACGCUAAUACCGCAUACGUCCUACGGGAGAAAGGGGGGGAUCUUCGGACCUCUCGCUAUCAGAUGAGCCCAAGCGGGAUUAGCUAGUUGGUGAGGUAAAGGCUCACCAAGGCGACGAUCCCUAGCUGGUCUGAGAGGAUGAUCAGCCACACUGGAACUGAGACACGGUCCAGACUCCUACGGGAGGCAGCAGUGGGGGAAUAUUGGACAAUGGGCGAAAGCCUGAUCCAGCCAUGCCGCGUGUGUGAAGAAGGCCUUC